UCGAGAAUCUUCGGCAAUGGGCGCAAGCCUGACCGAGCGACGCCGCGUGCGGGAUGAAGGCCCUUGGGUUGUAAACCGCUGUCAGAGGGGAUGAAGUGCGGGUGGGCAAUCCCAUCCGUUUGACAUAGCCUCAGAGGAAGCACGGGCUAAGUUCGUGCCAGCAGCCGCGGUAAUACGAACUGUGCAAACGUUAUUCGGAAUCACUGGGCUUAAAGGGUGCGUAGGCGGCCAUUUAAGUAGGGUGUGAAAGCCCCCGGCUCAACCGGGGAAUUGCGUCCUAAACUGGGUGGCUCGAGUGAGAUAGAGGUGUGUGGAACUUCCAGUGGAGCGGUGAAAUGUGUUGAUAUUGGAAGGAACGCCGGUGGCGAAAGCGACACACUGGGUCUCAACUGACGCUGAGGCACGAAAGCCAGGGGAGCGAACG
rnacentral:rRNA from 1 species